rnacentral:rRNA from 1 species
GACGAACGCUGGCGGCGUGCUUAACACAUGCAAGUCGAACGGAAAGGCCCUGCUUUUGUGGGGUGCUCGAGUGGCGAACGGGUGAGUAACACGUGAGUAACCUGCCCUUGACUUUGGGAUAACUUCAGGAAACUGGGGCUAAUACCGGAUAGGAGAUCCUGCUGCAUGGUGGGGGUUGGAAAGUUUCGGCGGUUGGGGCUGGACGCGCGGCUUAUCAGCUUGUUGGUGGGGUAGUGGCUUACCAAGGCUUUGACGGGUAGCCGGCCUGAGAGGGUGAACGGCCACCUUGGGACUGAGAUACGGCCCAGACUCCUACGGGAGGCAGCAGUGGGGAAUAUUGCCCAAUGGGCGGAAGCCUGAUGCGGCAACGCCGCGUGCGGGAUGCCGGCCUUCGGGUUGUAAACCGCUUUCGCUUGUGACGAAGCGUGAGUGACGGUAAUGGGUAAAGAAGCACCGGCUAACUACGUG